CUUCUAAGAAGAGGAAAUUUGGACACAGGUAGGCACAGAGGGAAGACAAUGUGAAGGCACAGGGAGAAGAUGGCCAUCAACAAACCAAGGAGAGAGGCUGCAGAAGAAACCACAACUUGAUCUUGGACUUCUAUCCUCCAGAACUGACACUCAUUUUGGGGAGCCCUGUAAGAAGUUUGGCUCCCCUGCUGGACACAUCAUGUGGAGAGGAAAGUCUCUGAGAUUUUAUGUACAGGAAGAGAGGGAUAGUCAUCCCAGAGACCCAGUCGAGCGUCUAGAUGACUCCAGUUGCCAUCUGACUAUAACUGCAUGAGAGACCCUGAGUAAGACCAGCAGAAGAACUUCCCAGUGGAGCCAGCUAAUUCACAGAACAUUCUGCAAGAGGGGAAUUAACUCAAACUAGAACUGAGGAGGUCUGCAAGGAAACAUAACAAGAAAUACAGCAUUUCUAAGACACUGACUGUUUUGGAUAUGGUCAAAUGUACAGUUUACCUAUAGAUGUGAAACCAUGGGGAGCUACAUCAAGACCUGCUCAAGAUGACUGGAAGUCACUGAAGGAUCUUGGGCUUAAUGUUGGGUGCACUUGGGAUAUACGAGCUUGGAUUGUCUUUCUAUUUAGAAGGCACGAGUAAUGAGUACAUUUUCAUUUGUGUAUGGUAUAGUGGCGUUAUAUUAGUUGAAGACCUUCUGUAAAUUGGGUGGACUAUCAAGUUUGUAUGUUGCUUUUGUCUGUCCAACAUACGUUCCCGGUUGUUCUGCAAACGGC